rnacentral:rRNA from 1 species
UACGGAGGGGGCUAGCGUUGUUCGGAAUUACUGGGCGUAAAGCGCACGUAGGCGGCUUUGUAAGUUAGAGGUGAAAGCCCGGGGCUCAACUCCGGAACUGCCUUUAAGACUGCAUCGCUAGAAUUGUGGAGAGGUAAGUGGAAUUCCGAGUGUAGAGGUGAAAUCCGUAGAUAUUCGGAAGAACACCAGUGGCGAAAGCGGCUUUCUGGUCCUUAACUGACGCUGAGGCGCGAAAGCAUGGGGAGCGAACGGG